AUUGAACGCUGGCGGCAGGCUUAACACAUGCAAGUCGAGCGGGGUGAUGGUGCUUGCACUAUCACUUAGCGGCGGACGGGUGAGUAAUGCUUAGGAAUCUGCCUAUUAGUGGGGGACAACAUCUCGAAAGGGAUGCUAAUACCGCAUACGUCCUACGGGAGAGAGCGGGGGAUCACUUGUGACCUUGCGCUAAUAGAUGAGCCUAAGUCGGAUUAGCUAGUUGGUGGGGUAAAGGCCUACCAAGGCGACGAUCUGUAGCGGGUCUGAGAGGAUGAUACGCCACACUGGGACUGAGACACGGCCCAGACUGCUACGGGAGGCAGCAGUGGGGAAUAUUGGACAAUGGGGGGAACCCUGAUCCAGCCAUGCCGCGUGUGUGAAGAAGGCCUUAUGGUUGUAAAGCACUUUAAGCGAGGAGGAGGCUCUUUUGGUUAAUACCCAAGAUGAGUGGACGUUACUCGCAGAAUAAGCACCGGCUAACUCUGUGCCAGCCGCCGCAGUAA
rnacentral:rRNA from 1 species